UACGAAGGGGGCUAGCGUUGCUCGGAAUCACUGGGCGUAAAGCGCACGUAGGCGGCUUUCUAAGUCAGGGGUGAAAUCCUGGAGCUCAACUCCAGAACUGCCUUUGAUACUGGGGAGCUCGAGUCCGGAAGAGGUGAGUGGAACUCCGAGUGUAGAGGUGAAAUCCGUAGAUAUUCGGAAGAACACCAGUGGCGAAGGCGGCUCACUGGUCCGGUACUGACGCUGAGGUGCGAAAGCGUGGGGAGCAAACAGG
rnacentral:rRNA from 1 species